CACGACACGACACCACCUAAAAGACACAACACGACUUCUCUCAAGCUGCCGUUUUGACUGUUUUCAGGAGUGAGAGAAUAACCCCCUGCUACAGAAAAUAUAACACAAGAUUCCUACAUUUCUGAAGGGAACUGAUCACAGAGAUGCAGAAAAGACAGGUAACUUUAAGCAGAGGAUUAAUUCAUAUGAAUUUCCAUUGCACAUCAUUAUGCACAUGUUACAUGUCUAUAUAUUAUGCAUCUGUUACUUGUCUUUAUUGCAGUUAUUAUAAGAAAGUUUUGACAUUGAAACAUGUGAGUGGUAUUACAUUUCACAUCACAUGAUUCUUCAGAACUUAAUAAAUAUGCAGAUUUGCUGC